GCGGGCGUAGCUCAGUGGUAGAGCCUUUCGUUGCCAACGAAACUGUCGAGAGUUCGAAUCUCUUCGCCCGCUCCA
rnacentral:tRNA from 1 species